GAUGAACGCUGGCGGCGUGCCUAAUACAUGCAAGUCGAGCGAACAGACGAGGAGCUUGCUCCUCUGACGUUAGCGGCGGACGGGUGAGUAACACGUGGAUAACCUACCUAUAAGGCUGGGAUAACUUCGGGAAACCGGAGCUAAUACCGGAUAAUAUAUUGAACCGCAUGGUUCAAUAGUGAAAGACGGUUUUGCUGUCACUUAUAGAUGGAUCCGCGCCGCAUUAGCUAGUUGGUAAGGUAACGGCUUACCAAGGCAACGAUGCGUAGCCGACCUGAGAGGGUGAUCGGCCACACUGGAACUGAGACACGGUCCAGACUCCUACGGGAGGCAGCAGUAGGGAAUCUUCCGCAAUGGGCGAUAGCCUGACGGAGCAACGCCGCGUGAGUGAUGAAGGUCUUCGGAUCGUAAAACUCUGUUAUUAGGGAAGAACAAAUGUGUAAGUAACUAUGCACGUCUUGACGGUACCUAAUCAGAAAGCCACGGCUAACUACGUG
rnacentral:rRNA from 1 species